rnacentral:rRNA from 1 species
GUCUAAGGCCAUGCCACCGUGAACAUGCCCGAUUCUGAAGCUAAGCAGGGUCAGGUCUGGUUAGUACUUGGAUGAGAGAUCACUUAGGAAUACCAGGUGCUGUAGGAA